ACAGCAGUAGCCGCGGUAAUACGUAGGUCCCGAGCGUUGUUCGGAAUCACUGGGCGUAAAGGGAGCGUAGGCGGCGUGGUAAGUCAGAUGUGAAAUCCCGGGGCUCAACCCCGGAACUGCAUCCGAUACUGCCUUGCUAGAGGAUUGGAGAGGUAGCUGGAAUUCUUGGUGUAGCAGUGAAAUGCGUGGAGAUCAAGAGGAACACUCGUGGCGAAAGCGAGCUACUGGACAAUAACUGACGCUGAGGCUCGAAGGCCAGGGCAGCGAAAGGGAUUAGAUACCCCUGUAGUCCCUGUCUCUUAUAC
rnacentral:rRNA from 1 species